GUAUGGGGCGAGCGUUGUUCGGAAUUAUUGGGCGUAAAGGGCGUCUAGGCGGGGGAUUAAGUUGGGUGUGAAACCCGUGGGUCAACCCAGGAACUGCAUCAAAACUGGUUCUCUUGAGUUCGGGAGAGGAGAGCGGAAUUCCGGUGUAGCGGUGAAAUCGUAGAUAUCGGGAAGAACACCAGUGGCGAAGGCGGCUCUCUGGCCUAGAACUGACGCUUGAAGCGCGAAAGCGUGGGGAGCGAACGGGAUUAGAUACCCCGGUAGUCCACGCGUGUAAACGUUGUGUACUAGGUGUUAGUGACUUUGUUCACUAGUGCCGACGCUAACGCAUUAAGUACACCGCCUGGGGAGUACUGGCCGCAAGGCUU
rnacentral:rRNA from 1 species